GUUACGUUGUUAGUUUUGCUCGGGGAGUGAUACAGUUCGGAGUAAAGGUUAUUUACUUCGUAAUAUUUUUUCUAAGAUUUCAUUCAUAAAUGAGAGAUUAUUGGGGCUGGAUUCCGUUCAUGAUAUCCUUGUUAAGAAACUAAACUCAGCUGGCGAAAUUGACUGGCUGACAAUUCAUGCUGAGUUGUGUCAAUCCGCACUCUUUGCCAUAUUUUAAAAAGCUGUUCACAUCAUUUGAAAAAAUGGAUGGUGUGCUUCAGCGACAUCUAUCACGUAUUUAUAAACGUGAAUCACGAGAUAGAUUAAUUGAAAUUCCAAAAAGACAAGUUCGUUCCGAAAGAAUUAAUCAUGAUGGAGAUAUAUU